AUCUUUGCGCAGAGGCGAUAUCGUAACCAAUGAGGUUUAUCCGAGGUGCGAUUAUUGCUAGUUGAAAACUUAUCCCAAUACCCCGCAAUGACGACGUGAAAUACCGUCGGCUUAUGCAAUUUUUGAUGGUCUCUACGGAGA
rnacentral:snRNA from 1 species